UACGUAGGGUGCAAGCGUUGUCCGGAAUUAUUGGGCGUAAAGAGCUCGUAGGCGGUCUGUUGCGUCGGCUGUGAAAACCCGGGGCUCAACCCCGGGCCUGCAGUCGAUACGGGCAGACUGGAGUUCGGUAGGGGAGUCUGGAAUUCCUGGUGUAGCGGUGAAAUGCGCAGAUAUCAGGAGGAACACCGGUGGCGAAGGCGGGACUCUGGGCCGAUACUGACGCUGAGGAGCGAAAGCGUGGGGAGCGAACAGG
rnacentral:rRNA from 1 species